GAUGAACGCUGGCGGCGUGCUUAACACAUGCAAGUCGAACGGAAAGGCUCCUGCUUGCAGGGGUACUCGAGUGGCGAACGGGUGAGUAACACGUGGGUGAUCUGCCCUGCACUUCGGGAUAAGCCUGGGAAACUGGGUCUAAUACCGGAUAGGACGAUGGUUUGGAUGCCAUUGUGGAAAGUUUUUCGGUGUGGGAUGAGCUCGCGGCCUAUCAGCUUGUUGGUGGGGUAAUGGCCUACCAAGGCGUCGACGGGUAGCCGGCCUGAGAGGGUGUACGGCCACAUUGGGACUGAGAUACGGCCCAGACUCCUACGGGAGGCAGCGGUGGGGAAUAUUGCACAAUGGGCGCGAGCCUGAUGCAGCGACGCCGCGUGGGGGAUGACGGCCUUCGGGUUGUAAACUCCUUUCGCUAGGGACGAAGCGCAAGUGACGGUACCUGGAGAAGAAGCACCGGCUAACUACGUG
rnacentral:rRNA from 1 species